rnacentral:rRNA from 1 species
AACGAACGCUGGCGGCAUGCCUAACACAUGCAAGUCGAACGAGACCUUCGGGUCUAGUGGCGCACGGGUGCGUAACGCGUGGGAAUCUGCCCUUGGGUUCGGAAUAACUUCGGGAAACUGAAGCUAAUACCGGAUGAUGACGUAAGUCCAAAGAUUUAUCGCCCAAGGAUGAGCCCGCGUAGGAUUAGCUAGUUGGUGAGGUAAAGGCUCACCAAGGCGACGAUCCUUAGCUGGUCUGAGAGGAUGAUCAGCCACGCUGGGACUGAGACACGGCCCAGACUCCUACGGGAGGCAGCAGUGGGGAAUAUUGGACAAUGGGCGAAAGCCUGAUCCAGCAAUGCCGCGUGAGUGAUGAAGGCC